AACGAACGCUGGCGGCAUGCCUAACACAUGCAAGUCGAACGAGACCUUCGGGUCUAGUGGCGCACGGGCGCGUAACGCGUGGGAACCUGCCCUUAGGUUCGGAAUAACUCCCCGAAAGGGGUGCUAAUACCGGAUAAUGUCUUCGGACCAAAGAUUUAUCGCCCUUGGAUGGGCCCGCGUUGGAUUAGCUAGUUGGUAGGGUAAAAGCCUACCAAGGCGACGAUCCAUAGCUGGUCUGAGAGGAUGAUCAGCCACACUGGGACUGAGACACGGCCCAGACUCCUACGGGAGGCAGCAGUGGGGAAUAUUGGACAAUGGGCGAAAGCCUGAUCCAGCAAUGCCGCGUGAGUGAUGAAGGCCUUAGGGUUGUAAAGCUCUUUUACCCGGGAUGAUAAUGACAGUACCGGGAGAAUAAGCUCCGGCUAACUCCGUG
rnacentral:rRNA from 1 species